rnacentral:misc_RNA from 1 species
GACGAACCGGACGAACGUUAUUCGGAAUCACUGGGCUUAAAGAGUGCGUAGGCGGCUUGGUAGGUUGGGUGUGAAAUCCCACAGCUCAACUGUGGAACUGCGCUCAAAACCACCAAGCUUGAGGAAGGCAGAGGUGAGCGGAACUGAUGGUGGAGCGGUGAAAUGCGUUGAUAUCAUCAGGAACACCGGUGGCGAAGGCGGCUCACUGGGCCUUAUCUGACGCUGAGGCACGAAAGCUAGGGUAGCGAACAGG